UUAAUUAUAUAAUAAUCAGCAUGUAAUUGUGUCAUAUAACUAAAACAUAAUAAAAUGUUCAUGGCAUCAGAAACCAAAGAAAAACUAAAAAAUGUUCAUUGAACUUUACCUGUAUUGAGAAAAUACAUGUGAACACUUUGCUAGAGUUAUAUAAAUGAAUCAAAAUUCUUUAUGAAGGAAGUACUUAUAUAUACAUAAAAGAACGCCAAAUUCUUUCACUGACAAUUCCAGUUCCAGUGUUGUCUUGUCAUAAAGUUUUCCUAUAAAUACUCUUGUAUCGCACUAAACAUUUAACUAAAGAUGAAGUUCCUAUACGGAUUAGUUGCUAUCAUUGUCGGUCUCAUGGUUCUGGGCCAGUCACAUGGCUCUGCUGAACCCCGAGCUAGACCCCCACCAAAGCCCAGGCCACCACCAAAGGGUUAGGAUUGGAGAUGAGUAAUAUUCGUCAAGUAAACAAUCGAAUUUGUUAAUAUUAAUGGAUGUAUAGAGUCCUUUAUUAUUAAGAAAAGAAUACAUUUGGAACAGAGCAA